rnacentral:misc_RNA from 1 species
GUAAAAUUUGGAAUUGUUCUUUCAUAUGGGAGUUAUAUUUUAUCCUUAAGAAUUUCUUUUGUGCAUGAGUUGUCAAUCUCUGGUUGGUCUUUUGUUUCAUUUACUUCUAUAAAGAAAAUAUAAAAAGAAAAGAAAACAAAAAAGCAAAGGAGCAUUUUUUUUUAUUAUUGUUUUAGGUUGACCUGGAGAUAACUGCCAUAUACUAAUUCUUUGAGUUCCUGAUCAGGACUAAUUUUCUAUGUUUAAUUCUGCAAUUUUUUGUUUUUUGACCGCAAUUGCAGCUGGGAAGUUCUUUGGAAUAACUCUUCGCGGAACACAUUCCCAUGCUUUUGUU